rnacentral:rRNA from 1 species
GACGAACGCUGGCGGCGUGCUUAACACAUGCAAGUCGAGCGAGGCCCACCUUUCGGGGUGGUGUCCUAGCGGCGAACGGGUGAGUAACACGUGGGCAACCUGCCCCCGGCUCGGGGAUAACUCCAAGAAAUUGGGGCUAAUACCGGAUAUGACCGCUGACCGCAUGGUCUGGUGGUGGAAAGAUUUAUCGGCUGGGGAUGGGCCCGCGGCCUAUCAGCUUGGUGGUGGGGUAGUGGCCUACCAAGGCGACGACGGGUAGCCGGCCUGAGAGGGUGACCGGCCACACUGGGACUGAGACACGGCCCAGACUCCUACGGGAGGCAGCAGUGGGGAAUAUUGCGCAAUGGGCGGAAGCCUGACGCAGCGACGCCGCGUGGGGGAUGACGGCCUUCGGGUUGUAAACCUCUUUCAGCAGGGACGAAGCCGCAAGGUGACGGUACCUGCAGAAGAAGCACCGGCCAACUACGUGCCAGCAGCCGCCGUAAUAC